rnacentral:SRP_RNA from 1 species
GCCAGGCAUGGUGGCGCAUGCCUGUAGUCUCAGUUACUCGGGAGGCUGAGGCAGGAGGAUUGCUUGAGCCCAGGACUUUGAGGCUGCAGUGAGCCAAGAUUGCACCACUGCACUCCAGUCUGGGCAACAUAGUGAGAUCCUGUCUCUA